CGCGGGGUGGAGCGGCCUGGUAGCUCGUCGGGCUCAUAACCCGAAGGUCGUCGGUUCAAAUCCGGCCCCCGCAACCA
rnacentral:tRNA from 1 species